ensembl:antisense Nr5a1os nuclear receptor subfamily 5, group A, member 1, opposite strand
GUGGCUGAAAAUGGAUGUGGUGCAGUGGACAGCAAGAGUUCCGGGGGGCGAACCCCAUUACCAGGAGUCUCCCUCAGGCUGCUCGCCUGGAAAUGGGAUGUAUGGUCAAUUCCACUCUACGGCAUCCCAAGGUCUGGGUCUCUGAAUUAGACCAAAUCUCGGGGACAUCUCUGCUCUUAUGACUAAUGACCAACAUCCAUGGGAAGAGUCAGACUGUGGCGAGAGGACCAAAGGGCCCGGGAAAGCGGAGUCUGUCCUGGGAACAAUGGGGUGACUAGAACAUUUAGGCCCCCUUCCACCCACCUAGGAAGCCAUCCCUAGUAGAUACAUGAAGCAAGAUCUGGUGGGCUCUUCCAUGUAGUGGAGGAGGCUGGGGCGUGAGGUGGGUGUAGGGGGGAGGGGAGGAAACUGGGACUGGAGGUCUUAGCCUAAGGACCUCCUUCCUGUUUGUAGGGAAGCGACUGCCUCAGAAAGCUGCUGGGGGAGAGGAGGGAGGCCAUGGUGACUUCCGGGAAGAAGGCCCAACCUCCCUGUGCCCACAUGGGAUUCUCCAGUCCUGGCUUAAAAUAGUGCAACUCUGCCAUUGAUGCUGGACCCAGCCUGAACCUCGAAGGGUUGCAACCAUGGUUUGUGCUGCCAGUAGGAGCGGUGGUUAUGUGUGAGGGUCUACCCAGCUAUCUAGUUCAAAUCAGACUGUGCCCCGUGGCCACAGGGACUAAAACAAACAAACAAACAAACAAACAAACAACCCCACAGAUCCUAGACCUGAAGCUUUGGAUGCAAGUUUCAGCUCUUGCACUGAUCAGCUUCGAGACUUUGGUCUGGUGCCUGCCUGGCUUUCAACCAAAAUGAAGACAGUGGCAUGGCACGAUCUGGUGCCUUUUAACCAAAUGAAGACAGAGCCUUGCCAGACAUAAAGUGGGUGCACAG